UACGUAGGUGGCAAGCGUUGUCCGGAUUUACUGGGCGUAAAGAGCGCGCAGGCGGUCGAUCAAGUCGGGUGUGAAAGCCCCCGGCUCAACUGGGGAGGGUCACGCGAUACUGAUCGACUCGAAGGCAGGAGAGGGUAGUGGAAUUCCCGGUGUAGUGGUGAAAUGCGUAGAUAUCGGGAGGAAAGCCAGUGGCGAAGGCGACUACCUGGCCUGUUUCUUGACGCUGAGGCGCGAAAGCUAGGGGAGCAAACGGG
rnacentral:rRNA from 1 species